GAUGAACGCUGGCGGCGUGCCUAAGAAAGGAAAGUGGAGAGAACAGACGAGGAGCUUGCUCCUCUGACGUUAGCGGCGGACGGGUGAGUAACACGUGGAUAACCUACCUAUAACACUGGGAUAACUUCGGGAAACCGGAGCUAAUACCGGAUAAUAUAUUGAACCGCAUGGUUCAAUAGUGAAAGACGGUUUUGCUGUCACUUAUAGAUGUAUCCGCGCCGCAUUAGCUAGUUGGUAAGGUAACGGCUUACCAAGGCAACGAUGCGUAGCCGACCUGAGAGGGUGAUCGGCCACACUGGAACUGAGACACGGUCCAGACUCCUACGGGAGGCAGCAGUAGGGAAUCUUCCGCAAUGGGCGAAAGCUUGACGGAGCAACGCCGCGUGAGUGAUGAAGGUCUUCGGAUCGUAAAACUCUGUUAUUAGGGAAGAACAAAUGUGUAAGUAACUAUGCACGUCUUGACGGUACCUAAUCAGAAAGCCACGGCUGACUACGUU
rnacentral:rRNA from 1 species